rnacentral:lncRNA from 1 species
CAAACAUACCUACAAAACAAAUUAAUGAGAUCUUGGUACCCAAACCAUUUUGGGUCCUUGUGCGUUAGGUGCGACAUAGUGUUGUUGUGGUUGAUUUGCACUAAAAUGCCUAUGUCGGGUGAAACAAGCAGGAGCUAUAUGCCCUACUUUAAUCCAAUAGUGACAAAUUACAUUAGGAUUAUGCAUUCUUCUAGGAUGAUAGUAAUUUGGAGGUCUA